rnacentral:rRNA from 1 species
CCUACGGGUGGCAGCAGUGGGGAAUAUUGGUCAAUGGGCGCGAGCCUGAACCAGCCACGUAGCGUGAAGGAUGACUGCCCUACGGGUUUUAAACUUCUUUUAUAAAGGAAUACAGUGAGGCACGUGUGCCUUUUUGUAUGUACUUUAUGAAUAAGGAUCGGCUAACUCCGUUCCAGCAGCCGCGGUAAUACGGAGGAUCCGAGCGUUAUCCGGAUUUAUUGGGUUUAAAGGGAGCGUAGACGGGUUGUUAAGUCAGUUGUGAAAGUCUGGGGCUCAACCGUAAAACUGCAAUUGAUACUGGCAGUCUUGAGUGCAGGUGAGGUAGGUGGAAUUCGAGGUGUAGCGGUGAAAUGCUUAGAUAUCACGAAGAACACCGAUUGCGAAGGCAGCUUACUAAAC